UUGAACUUAUCCCACUGGAAGGACGCAUACUUUCAUUUGCAACCGAAGUGUAAAAAUGUACAAUUUCACAAGCAUUCCCAGACGGCACUGCUAUUAGCUAAAUUAGUUGGUGAGUGAGCGUUAGUUGGUUGGCUUUUUGCCCAACCACUUCCCACCAACCAGUCCAUGCGCAUCGCUAUCAUUGGAGAAUACGCGGAAAGGCUAAUUUGGCUAGAUUAAGCGGCGCCAAAAGGGAUUGCCUGCACACAGUUGGUUGAUUGCGCAUAAAGAUGUGCAUUGGUUGCUGCAGCGAUUCUACCGAGACGCACCUAUGAUAUUUAGCACAUUUUUUAACUUAACAAUUUGUACAGAAAUUUCCAUCAACAAAACAAUAAAAAUGUGCGCAAAUAAAAAUGGCGGUGUGACAGCGCAUUCUCAGUGGUUUUGAACGCGCACAAAGCGGUAUCUCACUUGAGAGACUGCUCUGGUGGGCUGAUGUGCGGUAGUGUGUGAAUGUGAGAAUAUUACGUGCAUACAUACAUACAUUUAUAACUGUAUGAGUGUGUAUGUAUGUUGUGAAUUGCUCAACCAACAACUCUUGCUGGAUUGAGGAGGCAUUGACUUAAAAGCUGUGAGAGGGGUAGAGAGAGGAAGGGGUAUGUGGGCUAUAAUGUGAGGAGAACAAGCGUGAAGUGUCGUAAAUUUCCUUAAUGGCAAUUAACGUGGAAAUGUGUGUCAUCAUCAAAUCAAAUCCCCUGGUUAUAACUAUAUGUAUAUAAAAAAGAGGUUCUAGUAAUGGGGUAAAUUAAGGCAGAAAUGUUCAAAGAGUUGCGUUGAAUUGGAAUCCCCAAGGAAUCGCAGACGCGGGAGGACAGCGAACCCCUGCAGGCGACAGGUGGAUGCAGAAA